GUAUUCAAACGGCGCCCGGUGAAAACAAGUGAAAAGCAAGGGGAAGGGUCGCGCGGCGAAAACAAGUGAAAAGCGUGGGGGAGAGUGUCGCGCGACGCGGUGGUUGGCUACGUCAUCACAUUGGCAUUCGCUCAGCGACCUCGAAGGGAGACGGACGUGUGCAUGAAACGUUCCGCGUGUCGCAUUAAUAAAUGAAAAUUAGAUAUCUACAAACGGUGAAUUACGUAAGGAUGCCUAAAACUAAGGAGUCUAUCAAGGAUUAAUAGAUUAUCUUCCCUCUCACGGGUACACCUUGACGUAGUGGAAGGGCUCAGUACUCAGAGGAUAUUUACACGAAAAGAACGGUUUUUUCUCAAAUAUCUAAAAAUUUUCGAAUAUAUCUGGAUGUAAUAUAUUUAGAUAAAUUUUUAGAUAUUGAGUAAAAUCGUUCUCUUCGUGUAAAAAUCCAACGGAGAAGCUAACGUACCCUCGUCGCCGAUUUACUUGAAAAUGAACGAACCGCAGCCGGUUCGUCGCGUCGCGCGUUUCGGGAGUGCCGUUCAAGUUAUCGGACUCAAAUUAUAGUCCGCGCGCGAUUAUAUUUUAUUAUUCGCGAGUGUUUUACGCGAGUGUCCUGUGCGAGAUGUAAAUCAUAUUCUGAGAGGAGGAGGAGGUCUGGGAGAGACAUCGGGCACCGGUGGAGCAACCUUGCGAAUCAUCGUAGCGACGUUGCAGAUAUAACUCCACUAUUGUUCAUCGGAUCGGUGAGUAAUGAAUCAAUCAUUUUUAU